GUGAAAAUUGUGACCACCCUUGUUUAUUUCAGUAUGCACAACAUUAAGCCUUUCACUUUAUUUUAUGAGGUAAAAUGAACAGAGGCAUUUAACAUGGAGUAUAUGCAAUUUUACAUUUUACUAUCCAACGGUUUUGAGCUUGGGUAAUAUGUCAGGCCACUGUGUCAGCGAGGUCACAGCCAUCAAUCAAUUAAACCUUUUAAUUGAUGACUGCAGCAGAGCUCUGCCUCCUUAAGUGCUAAGACCAAGUAUUUGCAAGAAGCCUUAUAUGUUCCUGAAUCAGUUCUUGUUUUAUGUAUGUGUAUGGCCAUAGUGUGUAUGUAUUUGUCUAUUUUAGAGCAUAAGAGAUAUUAACCUGUGUGUGUGGUGUUGAUAUUAAGGGUGUUUUUUACAUAUGAGGGGGAAAUAAGAUGCAGCACAUGGCUCAACCUCCCGUCUGUCUAUAUCAUGCCGCCUGAGGGGCCCUUCUCUGACCUCGGCCUCUCUCUCCCCAGGGACCCCAAAACCUCUCAGGAUCCCUAGACAACAUGAAGGUGGGGAGGGGAACGGCACGUGUCUCUGAGACCAUUGAUACGGUGUGUUUAAGACAGAUGUAGUCUAGUCUGUCCAUGUGUCUUCUACUCUGAAAAUAGAGCAAACCAAAUAGUGCACAUGCCUGCUGAUGUUAUGAUUUACUUUUUUGCUGUUAAAACUGUAGGGUGCCUUAGAAGAAAACCAGAUCCUCAUAAAAUUGCUUGGGGAAAUUCUUAUUAAACCAUUCCACUUUAGCAUGAAAAAGACUAAUAUAUAGGUUUAUCUUGCCUAUUUUAAGAUCAAUCGCUAUAACAGUGCAGGCCACAGGGAAGUCUGCAGCGAUUUUCAGGCUUUUAGAUCAUAUCCGUGUGGCCACUGAUAUCAGGCUGCAGCUGAAUAACGAAGAUGCAGGCCUGAAAACAAUCAGUCUCGGGUUUAAGAGCAAUAGAUGUUGAGAAUUUCCGAUUUAGGUUGUUCUUGUACCCCAGACAGUAUUAUCGCUUUUUAUCCUGCUGCCGUUGCUGUCCGGAUUGUGUGCGGGGUGAGGGGCUCCGUUUAUCAGUGUGUUGACAGUCGAGCAGCCGCGUGCGUUCAGCGUAUUAUCAAGAGCGCGCGCGUGUAUUUUUGCCAUUAGUAACGCCUGGCCAUGUCUGCAAAAGAUACAAUUUACAUAAUAAAAUCAUUUCUGUACUACACCGAGGGACCGAUUUAUUUCAAACGAAUAUGUAUAUAUGGAGGUCGAAAGAAAAUAUGAAAGGGUCCAUUUAAAUGUCCUUUCAAUUGCAUAAAAUGUGUUUAACACAAGUUAAAAAUAAAACAGAUAAACAGCACGAAUGAAAAAAACAUUUUAAACAAAGAAAUACAAUCUGAAUUUAAGCUCAUUUAUUAUGUAGCCUACUUAUGCAAAAUCUUGCGCAUUUAAUGAUGUCUAAUUUUCUAGGUUUAAAUGAUCCAUCUCUUUAUAAGCAUUGGCUAUUUGUAUAUUUAUUUAUAUAACAAAGAAAUCAUCCAAAUUAAUUUUAUUCAAAACGUUCAUUAAUUGUAAUUUGCUCUUAAUUUUUUUAAUAAUGUUAAGAUGUUUUCCAUUUGCUGAACCUUACGCAUAUUUGUCAUAUCUGUGUUUUUUUCUCUCUCUCUAGAAGAUUUUUGAAAGACUAUAAACCUAAAUAAAAAUGUAAAAAAACACCAAAAAAUCUUUACAAAAUAAAUUCACAUUAUUUGUUAAUAUGUUUUUCCAGAGACAGAAUAUUAGACACACUGAAAUUUUAGGCUUUUUGUUGAAACGUUUUAAUUCAAGUGCUUCUCAUUUUAUAAUAAUCCAUUAUUCUUUAAUACAAAGUAACAUUAUUUUACGUCUAAUUUAUUUUACUUAUUCGUGAUCGUUAUGGGUUUGGGGAAUGCAAGAGUGUAACACGUACAAGGUAACGUUCUUCUCAAUCACACUGCAAUUUUAAAAUAUUUUUUAAUCAUGCAAAAAUGCUAUGCUGUUGUGCAAAAUUGUCCUUCGUAGUGAUUGCCUAGUCGAUCUCGAUUUGAAGUCGACAUAAGGACAAAUGUGCAAAAGCGUGGACAAGUGUGGAAAAAAUAAAUACGUCUCAAAGGUUUGUAAAUUGCACGACCAAAAAUACUCUGUGUAAAUGUAUAUAAGCUUAAAAUGCAACACCAGCAACGUCAUAUGCAGUCUGAAUGACUGUCAGAGUGAUUAAUAUUUGCUUUUAUUGUCUUCACAGUUGUGUGUUCCGUCGACGGAAAUCUAGCCUGAGGGGCAGCGCCUCAUCCUAGACCCUGUUUGCCUUUCUUUUGUGAGUAAAAUUCAUCAUUAGUCAUAAAUAAAUACGUAAACUUUGACCCCUCUAACAUCUGCGCCACGUGCCUAGAGCAGAUAGGUGAUUUAUUACUGCCAGUUUGAAGGAACAUGAUUUGAAUGGCAGGAGCAUGACAUUGGGCCUUAUGUGUUGGUGUUUGUGCUGUUCUCCUGUUUAAAAUGGGCAGUAGCAGGUUGUAACAAACCUUAAUAAUACCCUACUUAAGAUUUUCUUAACUUAAGUGGUUUGUUGCAACGGGCCCCUGAUCUUACUCUGAAUUCACUGCGUCACAGGUUUGGGCAAUGCUGUCAGAAAUGACCGAAUUGUGAAAUAUAGUAUUU